AAAAAAGUUUGAUUAACUCUUUGGUUCUUAUAAUAAUUACUGAUUUUGUAUGAGAGUUUUUGCAUGUAAUUGUAUAUAAAUUUAAAAUUUAUAUAUGAAAUUUGGUUAUAAUAAGAAAAUAUCUUAUUAAUCUUAAUUCUCAGCAUAUAAUAUUAAAUAAUUUAAAAAAUUAAGAUUUAGCAGUCAGUUUAAACCUAAUUAAUAUUGUGCCAGCAGUUGCGGUUAUACUUUAAGGUUAAAUAAGGAUAUAUUGGGUCAUUGUUAAGCAGAAAUAAAUUAUAAAAAUUCUUGGAAAAUAAAAAGGUGAAAUUAGGUUAUUUUUUUAAAGGUAAUAUUGAUAUAAAUAAAAGUUUAGAAAUUAGAGCUGAAGCAAUAAAAAAUUGGAUUUAAACUAGGAUUAGAUACCCUACUAUACCAAAAAGUAAUUUUUUAAGACCUAAGUAUUUAAAGUUAUGUACUUGAAAUUUGAAUAAUUUGGCGGUGAUUUAGUCUUGUCAGAGGAACCUGUUUUUAAAUCGAUACACCACGAAAAAUCUUACUUAGGCUUGUAGAGUAGUAUGUAUACCAUCAUUAUUAGGUAAUUUUUAUAGAAUAAAUUACUAAAAAUAAUUAUUAAUAGUGUUAAAUAUAUUAGAUCAAGGUGCAGCUAAUGCUUAAGUUAAAAUGGGUUACAAUAAAAAUUUAUUUAAUACGGAAUAUUAAUUUAAAUAAUUAAUUAGAAGGAGGAUUUGAUUGUAAAUUAAAUUUAAUAUGUUUAGUUAGAUAUAAGCUCUAAAUCAUGUACAUAUCGCCCGUCGCUUUCAUUACCAAAAUGAGAUAAGUCGUAACAUAGUAGGCUUACUGGAAAGUGAGCCUGGAUAGGAAAAAAAU
rnacentral:ncRNA from 1 species